rnacentral:rRNA from 1 species
UGGGGAAUAUUGCACAAUGGGCGAAAGCCUGAUGCAGCAACGCCGCGUGCGGGAUGACGGCCUUCGGGUUGUAAACCGCUUUCACCCAUGACGAAGCUAACGUGACGGUAGUGGGAGAAGAAGCACCGGCUAACUACGUGCCAGCAGCCGCGGUGAUACGUAGGGUGCGAGCGUUGUCCGGAUUUAUUGGGCGUAAAGAGCUUGUAGGCGGUUUGUUGCGUCGGGAGUGAAAACUCAGUGCUUAACACUGAGCCUGCUUCCGAUACGGGCAGACUUGAGGAAGGUAGGGGAGAUCGGAAUUCCUGGUGGAGCGGUGGAAUGCGCAGAUAUCAGGAGGAACACCGGUGGCGAAGGCGGAUCUCUGGACCUUUCCUGACGCUGAGAAGCGAAAGCGUGGGGAGCAAACAGG